rnacentral:rRNA from 1 species
AGCGAACGCUGGCGGCAGGCUUAACACAUGCCAGUCGAGCGGGCAUCUUCGGAUGUCAGCGGCAGACGGGUGAGUAACACGUGGGAACGUACCCUUCGGUUCGGAACAACUCUGGGAAACUGGAGCUAAUACCGGAUACGCCCUUAUGGGGAAAGGUUUACUGCCGAAGGAUCGGCCCGCGUCUGGUUAGCUAGUUGGUGGGGUAACGGCCUACCAAGGCGACGAUCAGUAGCUGGUCUGAGAGGAUGAUCAGCCACACUGGGACUGAGACACGGCCCAGACUCCUACGGGAGGCAGCAGUGGGGAAUAUUGGACAAUGGGCGCAAGCCUGAUCCAGCCAUGCCGCGUGAGUGAUGAAGGCCUUAGGGUUGUAAAGCUCUUUUGUCCGGGACGAUAAUGACGGUACCGGAAGAAUAAGCCCCGGCUAACUUCGUG